CCCUCAGGCGGCCUGUUCCACGCCAGGAUUAGUUUUGCUUCGCAGAUGGGCCGUGGUGGUGAGAGGAAGCAAUCAGUAUGGAAAUGGAGAAAUGGCUUACCAUGCAUGUCCUUCUCCCCAGGAGGGAGGUCGUGGUGCAGGCGAGCAGACGCCAGACUCCUGGACACUUGCCGCCUGCGUUAUGGAGGCUUAGCUAAUAACCUUGCAGGGGUCUUCAGGCUUUUCCACUGGCUCACCUUUAGGCUUCUGACACUUUUACCUACGAUUGAAAAAAGACGAGAUUCCAUGAGACUAGAAAUGUAGGAGCAUCUCAGACCUUCACAGAACGCUCUGUUAGAAGAUGAGAAACAUAACGUUGCUUGUGAGAGGUGAAGCCAGCUGGACUUCCUGGGUCGAGUGGGGACUUGGAGAACUUUUCUGUCUAGCUAAAGGAUUAUAAGUGCACCAAUCAGCACUCUGUAAAAACACACCAGUCAGCGCUCUGUGUCUAGCUAAAGGAUUGUAAAUGCACCAAUCAGCACUCUGUAAAAUGGACCAAUCAGUACCCUGUAAAAUGGACCAAUCAGCAGGACGUGGGCAGGGACAAAUAAGGGAAUAACAGCUGGCGCCCCUAGCCAGCAGUGGCAACCCACUCGGAUCACCUUCCAUGCUGUGGAAGCUUUGUUAUUUCACUUUUCACAAUAAAUCUUAGGGUUGCUUACUUUUUGGGUCCAUGCCACCUUGAAGAGCUGUAACACUCACCACGAAGGUCUGAGGCUUCAUUCUUGAAGUCAGACUAAGAACCCACCGGAAGGAACCAAUUCCAGACACACGUGUAGUAGCAAAUUAUCAAAAAUGUUCAUUGCCUUUUCUGAAAAACAAUUUUCCCAGAAACACCUGGCAGAAUCAGAGUUCAUUGUGUCAAAAGAAAAACUUUGGACAAAUUAAAAUGAGCAAAGAACAAUUUGUGAAAUGUGCCCCUCUCCCAACCAGAACAGGUUCAAAGAGACUCCAGUGCUGCCACAUGAUCAAAGAAUUAUGGACAAAAAAAGCAAAUAAAUUACAGGAAAAGAAAAUGAGAUAAUGCAGUAGUUACUUUUUGAAGGACGACCGAAGCAGGAUAUUUCCCUGACCCCUUCAUGGGACCCACGUCAGAGGUGUUUACUCAGCCUGCUGCCCACAACUCCUCACAGGAGGGAGCGCACAAGUGAACGAGGGUGAGGACUGGAGAGCACCAGCACUGGAACAACCCGGCCACUUCGGCGCUACUGGGAUCAAACUCCAUCACUUGGACACACUGUGUUCCACCCCUCGUGGGAGGGAGCAUGCAGAAGGAUGUGUUUGCUUCCCCUUCUGCCAUGACUGUAAGUUUCCUGAGG
rnacentral:lncRNA from 10 species